GGACCCAUCUCAUGGCUCAUUAGCCGGGUGGCCCGGCGCCCAGAGGUGGGUAGAGAGCACCAGGUGGCUUCUCUCUGGAAACCCCUGCAAACCCUGGGCUUCCCUUUCAGGGAUCAUGGCCAAAUUCUUGCCCUCGAAAUGAUUUUCCAGGCCUUUCCACCAGGAAAGAUGUUUUUCUGAGGGGGGAGGGGGGCCAUGGGAGGGUCUGGAGGAAGAGCCAGGGAGCGUAAGCUCGGAGGUCGGAGAAGAGGGAUUAGUACUGCCAGGCUAGGUCCAAGCACAGAGGCCCUCCCUCACUCGUGCCCAGCGGGAAAUCACAACCGCGGUCAGACAUUUCCCCAUGUUGGCCCAACACCACCUUCUUUUCCUCCCUGACACAUCCCUGGGCAGGACCUGGGGACAGCUAGAAACCUGCAAGCACCAGUGGACCCAGGGCCCUCUCCAGCCAGGAGAUACCCCUGAGCUGACCUGGUUCAGCCACAGCAGCCCGGGUGGGGGCACCGUCCGGGCACCUCGUGUUCCCGUCCUCCUCAGCACCGCCCAGGCCCAGCGGUUGGGCUGUGGAAAGUCAGGGACUCUGAGUCACCCUCCUCCUUUCAGUGUAUUUCUGGGAAUGUGAAGCACACUGGAGCGACGUGACAUUCCUUAGCUCCCAGCAGCAAGUCAACCACCCACUUCCUUUCCAGUCAUGCUGCAUGACAGCGGAACAGGACCAAACAAAUUGACAUGAAAGCCACAUGCCUUUAGGACAGGACGGGAGCGCAGGGCCAGGGCCUCCCUUCCCUCCAGAGCAGAGCGCAUACCAGCAGGCAAGCACCGCAGCUGUCCCUACCCCUCCAGGGCCAGGAAACCCUCUCCUCGGGCAUGUGACGCCCGUCCUGCUGUUCCAGAACACACUCGCACAUCUACAGACACACCCAUUCUGGGUGACAGGCAUUGCCAUGUGUGAAAUUCUUUGUCCUUAUCAUCUCUGGAGUAAGUCACAGGAAGGGUAACGCCCAUGUCUCUCAAGCAUUUGGUCUGGGGGUAAAGUUCUGCACAUCUGAAUCCUAGAAAAAUGUCGUCUAUGGACAGGACCCUGAGCACACGUCAAGAGCUUGGGAAGAGAGCUGGGGCAGGGGGACGAUGAGAGGGUGAACGUGGGGACAUCUGCCCUCAAGGAGGACCAGUGUCACAUGGAGACAGAACCUCAGGAGCAUGAGCAGCAGAACACAGACAGAGACACACUGCUCGGAUAUGUGAAUACAAGAGGAAAAUGUGUUACACAACCUUAUCUCCCGGGGAUCUCGCUUUGGUGUCAUUCUUUAGGUUACUCUGUAUCUUUGUUUAUUUUCUGUCCCCCCAACAAGACGAAUGCAAGCAGGGCCAAUGUCUGUGAUCCUCCACAGUGAUUGCUACUCAAACAGUGAGUAUAAUCUGCACAGUCAAGAUCAGGAGCCGCCUUGGAGGGCUGGAGGGCCACCUCAAGCUGCAGAGCGGUGCCCUUGGAGAGAAGUUCCCAUAAGUGAUGAAGUAGAAAGGGAGCGUCAGCGCCAUGGGAGGUGGUAGCUGCCUGGAGAGACCACAUCCAGCCAGGCCUGGGGACCGCCCUCGAGAUCUGGGUCACCCUCUCCUUUCCACCACCAUCUCCUGGGCAAAACCUCUGCCAGCUCUUUGGUGACCAUUCAAAAGUCAUCCGAUCAUGUCCCUUCCGCUGUGGCUCCACAAAAGCACCCAGAACUGCCUAACAAUCUAAAUCAAGCUGUACCGCCACCCUGCUCACAGCUCAGCACGACUCACCUUCCCAGCCAAGAGGGCCCGUCCCUCCCCAGCCCUCUGUCCCAGCCGCACUGGCUACUUUGAGGAACCUCAGACUGGCCAAGCUCGUCCCCACUCUGGGCUGGUUCCCUCCACUGGGAAAAGGCUUCCCCAGGCCCCCCGUGGCUGUCCCUUCUCCCACCAGGCCGGGGAGGCACAGGAUCACUGCGGGAAGAGCGGAUCACGACGAAUCAUUGUCAAGGCAAGAAACUGGGGUAGCAGUGGUGGGAAACAGAAUGUUCCCCUGCGAGGGUCUGUCUGGCCCAUGGUGGCAUCGCUGGUGCGGCUCCCAGACUCACCUUGGCCUCUUGCAGUGACUGAGAGCU